rnacentral:lncRNA from 1 species
UGGUCAUAGCGAAUCUUUCUAAAGCUCUGAUCAGUCAAGAAGGGGGUUGUAUCAAUCCUCAGAACCCUGAGUGGAACUUUCUACAGGAUUUAUUAGGAGAAAAACCUUCCCGGAAGCUGCAGAAGGACAAAUACAGAAUCCGUGUCUGGGAGAAACCUCGUGGCCUGGUCUCCAUUAUUUGAGAUGAGUUACAUCUUGGAGGACCAUAGCUGUCUGCAGUGCAGGAAGCCAACUAUUAAGGGGAAACAAAAGUGUUCUUAGGAGUCCUGCUGUCACUGUGGAUUGAGCCGGUGAAGCCCUGAGGGAUUUCAUCGCUGAGGUGGAUGGAGAAGCAGCUGGGGGCCUUGGCUGUAAGGACCCCUAAGGGCCUGAUCUUUUGGCCAGAAGGAGAUUAAAAAGAUGCCCCUCAAGAUGGCUGUGCCUGUCAGCUGCAUGGAGCUUCGUUCAAGUAUUUUCUGAGCCUGAUGGAUUUACAGUGAUCUUCAGUGGUCUGGGGAAUAACGCUGGUGGAACCAUGCACUGGAAUGACACACGCCCGGCACAUUUCAGGAUACUAAAAGUGGUUUUAAGGGAGGCUGUGGCUGAAUGCCUCAUGGAUUCUUACAGCUUGGAUGUCCAUGGGGGACGAAGGACUGCAGCUGGCUGAGAGGGUUGAGAUCUCUGUUUACUUAGAUCUCUGCCAACUUCCUUUGGGUCUCCCUAUGGAAUGUAAGACCCCGACUCUUCCUGGUGAAGCAUCUGAUGCACGUUCCAUCCGGCGCUCAGCUGGGCUUGAGCUGACCAUACUCCCUGGAGCCUUCUCCCGAGGUGCGCGGGUGACCUUGGCACAUACAGCCAUCAUGAUGGUACUUUAAGUGGAGGCUGAAUCAUCUCCCCUUUGAGCUGCUUGGCACGUGGCUCCCUUGGUGUUCCCCUUUUACUGCCAGGACACUGAGAUUUGGAGAGAAUCCUGUUACACCUGGGAUUUAGGCACUUUCAAUCUGAAAAAAUACAUAUCCUUUCAGCACUCUGGACGGACUUGAGAACUGUCCUUACGUGACCUAAAGCUGGAGUAUUUUGAGAUUGGAGAAUUAAGGCCUUCAGUGGGUUGAAUGAGGCCCAACCCACAUUGAAGAGGACCAUCUGCUUUACUCAGUCUCCUGGUUGAAGUGAUAAUCUCAUCUGGACAUACUCAGAAAUGCUGUUUAACCAGCUCUCUGGAAAUCCUGUGGCCCAGUCAAGUUGACACACAAAAUUAACCAUCACACUGCAGAGACACAGUCUAUCCCAAUACCUGUAUUUACUGGAGUGUGGGCACCCUGGCUUCAAGCUCACGAGAAACCAGGUCGGGAUUUAAACAAUGUUGGGUUAAAGCAAAGUUUCAUAAAGACAGAAUCAAGAAAAAAAGAAAGAGAAA